UUAUUCACACAGCCAUUAUAGCAGGUUCGGAUUGUCCAGAGGGGAUUCGGAUUUUCCCCUGCCAUACGGAGGAACCCCAGAGCUUCGAGAGCUCCCAGGACAGAAGACAUAAAAGUAGCUGAGAAGGCAGACUCAACGCACGCUCUGAAGCGCGUGCCACACGUUGCGCUGUUCGCGAAGUAGUUGAGCUGGUUGUGAUAUCCUGAUCUCUCGGUGAAGCUCAUUUUUUCUGAAGAUGGCGUCGGAAAUGUCUGAAGCGUCAAGCAUGUCCUCCAUGUCAGGUUUGGGCUCCGAGGUGGGAACUCAGGAGGGAAACCCGCAGAG